rnacentral:rRNA from 1 species
UGGGGGAUAUUGCACAAUGGGCGAAAGCCUGAUGCAGCAAUGCCGCGUGAGGGAAGACGGUCUUCGGAUUGUAAACCUUUAGCUUUGGGGAAGAAACACAUGACGGUACCCACAGGGGCAUCCACGGCUACCUACGUGCCAGCAGCCGCGGUAAUACGUAGGUGGCAAGCGUUGUCCGGAAUUACUGGGUGUAAAAGGAGCGCAGGCGGGGAGACAAGUCAGCUGUGAAAACUAUGGGCUUAACCCAUAGAUUGCAGUUGAAACUGUUUUUCUUGAGUGGAGUAGAGGUAGGCGGAAUUCCGAGUGUAGCGGUGAAAUGCGUAGAUAUUCGGAGGAACACCAGUGGCGAAGGCGGCCUACUGGGCUCUAACUGACGCUGAGGCUCGAAAGCGUGGGGAGCAAACA